ACGGGAAUAGCUCAGUUGGUAGAGCAUCGGUCUCCAAAACCGAGGGUCGAGAGUUCGAGUCUUUCUUCCCGUGCCA
rnacentral:tRNA from 1 species